rnacentral:rRNA from 1 species
AAUGAACGCUAGCGGCAGGCCUAACACAUGCAAGUCGAGGGGUAGAACACUUCGGUGUUUGAGACCGGCGCACGGGUGCGUAACGCGUAUGCAAUCUACCUUGUACAGGGGAAUAGCCCAGAGAAAUUUGGAUUAAUGCCCCAUAGUAUAUAACCUUCGCAUGUUGGUUAUAUUUAAGUUCCAACGGUACAAGAUGAGCAUGCGUCCCAUUAGUUAGUUGGUAAGGUAACGGCUUACCAAGACGAUGAUGGGUAGGGGCCCUGAGAGGGAGAUCCCCCACACUGGUACUGAGACACGGACCAGACUCCUACGGGAGGCAGCAGUGAGGAAUAUUGGUCAAUGGGCGCAAGCCUGAACCAGCCAUGCCGCGUGCAGGAAGACGGUCCUAUGGAUUGUAAACUGCUUUUAUACGGGAAGAAACAACUCUACGUGUAGAGUCUUGACGGUACUGUAGGAAUAAGGAUCGGCUAACUCCGUGCCAGCAGCCGCAGUAACAC